GUAUAAGAGCGGGGGGAAUCAUCUGACGGAUUUUGUCGGGGUGGAGCCGACCAAGAAGCGGAAGCGGCGAACUUCGUUCACGCCGCAGGCUUUGGAGGUACUGAUCGGCUAUUUCAAGAUGAAUACUCAUCCGACUGGUAAUGAGGUCAGCACGCUAGCGCAUCGUCUCGGCUACGACAGGGAGGUCAUUAGGAUUUGGUUCUGCAACAGGAGGCAGGCCCAGAAGAACACAAGAUUGAAGAACACCUUGUAAGGACACCCUGUAGAUCCGGUACCCGCGUAACGGAACCAGUGAACAAAGUAAAGCUUUAAGGACUCGAUCUUACGUAGCGCCCGAGGAACACCUGUGCCGAUCCCAAGGAUGCGGGCCGAUCUCGUAUCCGCCGGAUCGGCUGUCGAACCGUUGGAACGCCGCCGCCGACGAAAUCGGCGAUUUAACGGAACGUUUGAAAUAAUCGAGCGUUUCAGCGGGUUACCGGCUUUGAAUUUUAAACAGCAGGUUGAGCGCGCAGCUGUGCUGCCGGUCGAUGUAAAGAUCAUUGUGAUUGCAGGCGUAUACGAGACCUAUCUGUAAAUAACUUUAAUCAAUGAAUAUGUGAUGUACAGGAGUCGAGCGUCGAUUACUGGCGGUCAACUUUAUCGAUUGACAAUGAAGCGAACUCAUUUACCAACGGUGGUAGACAUCGACGCAACAUUUCCCCACGGUUGAUAAACCAGUGAUUGAUAAUUCGAAGUUACUGGCGGACGUUGCGCGAACCGUUAUCAACGGUUGAUAAAAUGAAAUUUCAAAUUUCCCGGGGCUUUCGAGAAUAUUCUUUUUCUAAUGUAUUUAAACGGGAGAAGUCGUUCGCGCAACGUCCGCGGGAACCGGUCCGCAGGACCGUUGUCGGUAGUCCACGCCUCGACUCGCGAACUUAGGAUAAGUAAUUCCCGCAAGUAAUCGCACAGAAUAAAUCUAGUUCGUAAAAUUGAGAAGCUUCCAGCCAGCCGAGGAUCGUCAACGAUACGAUUCGAAACGAAGCACAAAACGAGCCUCCCGCGAGAAGUGUCAGGUUUCUACGAAUCGAUCCUCGUAUUUCUCGCGCGAGGGGAUACGUCCAAGACUAAAAUAAAAGAAGAACGAUCGAAGGGGCCCAGUCGGCCCAUUGCACACACUGAACAGAACAUAGUUGAAGCAACGAGAGCAACAGUACCAACACAGAUACCAUCACAGUUCACAUGCCAUACACAAGGAUAAUACCGUUCAGUUGUCCAUGAAAUAGCAACGGAGAAGUUUUACAGUACCGCCGAUAUCGUUUAUAACGAUCGUGUCCAAUUCAGUUCUCUUCUUACCGGUGACCAAAAGACAAUUUUCCUUACUGGGACUUCCGUUUCUGAAACUGUUUCAACCGUCAUUGUUCUCUGGGUGUGCUCGUCUGUAAAUUACGCGCGUAUUUAGGGAUCGAUUGAGAUGAUGAAGCGACAGAAUA